GAUGAACGCUAGCGGCAGGCCUAAUACAUGCAAGUCGAACGGUGAUAUUUAUAUCAUAGUGGCGCACGGGUGCGUAACACGUAUGCAACCUACCUAUUAUUGGGGGAUAGCCUUUGGAAACGGAGAUUAAUACCGCAUAAUACGAUUAACUGGCAUCGGUUGAUUGUUAAAGCAUUUGCGAUAAUAGAUGGGCAUGCGUCCAAUUAGUUAGUUGGUGUGGUAAUGGCUCACCAAGACGAUGAUUGGUAGGGAUCUGAGAGGAUAAUCCCCCACACUGGCACUGAGAUACGGGCCAGACUCCUACGGGAGCAGCAGUAGGGAAUAUUGGGCAAUGGGCGGAAGCCUGACCCAGCCAUGCCGCGUGCAGGAAGACGGCGUUAUGCGU
rnacentral:rRNA from 1 species